GACAGAGGCCUCAAGCGUUAGGCGGAAUCACUGGGCUUAAAGCGUGUGUAGGCGGACGCCUAAGUGUCUUGUGAAAUCCCCCGGCUCACCCGGGGAACUGCUGGGCAUACUGGGCGUCUUGGGCCAACUAGGGGCAACUGGAACAAGCGGUGGAGCGGUGAAAUGCGUAGAUAUCGAGAGGAACACCUGCGGCGAAGGCGGGUUGCUGGGCUGAUACUGACGCUGAGGCGCGAAAGCCAGGGGAGCGAACGGG
rnacentral:rRNA from 1 species